rnacentral:rRNA from 1 species
AUCUGCCGUGGGCGCUGGAGAACUGAGGGGGGCUGCUCCUAGUACGAGAGGACCGGAGUGGACGCAUCACUGGUGUUCGGGUUGUCAUGCCAAUGGCACUGCCCGGUAGCUAAAUGCGGAAGAGAUAAGUGCUGAAAGCAUCUAAGCACGAAACUUGCCCCGAGAUGAGUUCUCCCUGACUCCUUGAGAGUCCUGAAGGAACGUUGAAGACGACGACGUUGAUAGGCCGGGUGUGUAAGCGCAGCGAUGC